AAGAAAAGGGUGAUCAACAACUGCCCUUCUUUAUGAAUGAAAGAAAGGUAUGGGACAGGAUGGCCCUAUUUCCUAAUUCUUACCUUUGUCCUCUUCUGCAAAACAAGAGGCAAAGGCCCUGAAAGGGCUGUCUUCUAAAACAAAUUUUAGAUUGGUGGAAGGCACAAGGGCAGGUUGCUCUCUGGAAGUUUGCAGAGGUUUAUAAUUCGUUUGUAAGGUGGGUAAAAACAAAUGUGGGUGAGCUUGACUGCCUGCUUUGUUUGCACAUACAACAGUUACCUGGCCAUCUCCUUUGACUUGUUUCUUAAAUAUUGUUUAAACAUUCAGUGCUCAGGCAAGGUGAGAAUACAGGCUGUACUUGCAGAUUAUCAAAUAUCUGUUUGUAUGUACUGUUUAUUCCUUAUUCUAAGUGCAAGUGUAUUGCUGUUGCCUUUCAAAAGAGAAUUUUUACAUGGAAAUGAAUCUGUUUUUUCUUUCCUUUUUUGAAAAGAUUAUUGCUUCAGCAAACUUCAUGCUGUCGGAGCUCUUUCAGUUGGAUGAGCCUGAAAAAGAAGACAAUACAGACUUCCCUAUAAAUGGAAAUUCUGAUGAAAGUUAGAGUGAAGAAGAGGAAGAAAUGCCAGACAGUGAUGAGAAUGGUUUUUACAGUAACAGUUCUGAUCCACCAGAUGACAACAAAGCAGUGGCUGUAAUAAAAUCUGUAGGAGAGUUAUCAGUACCAGAAAAAUACAAGUGUGUUCAUCGAAUAUGUAUUUUGGACUGAAGUCAGCCACCGUACAUUCUGGCAUACAGGCGUAUCUCGUAACUACAAGGGAAAAGUAGCUGAUGCUGGAGAGCAGCAGGACUUUGACUAUCCCAAGUUAUAACCGUGUAACAGCAAAAUACGUUCCUUCCUCAGCACAGCUGGCCAUCAUCACGCUCCAUCGUCAGGCUGCCCAGGAUCCCAUCCAACCUGGCCUUGAUCACCUCCAGGGAUGGAUGGGGCUGCUUCAAGACAGCUUUGUGCACAGGUGCAACUCAGCACCAGGCAGCGCUUCUCACUUGCAAGCAGUGCCUGUGGGUUGGGCAGCGCUCCCCCAGCAGCACUGGGCUGCUUGGAAAGGAAGCAUACCUUUUAUUUUGGUCACUCAACCAUGAAUGAUUUAGCUGCUAUUAAGAGCACAAAGCCAGAAAUCGCCUUCUGCAGUCCUGCUGCAGCUUGUUGGGGAACAGUGGAGCACCAGUAAAAAAAAAAAAAGCAAAAAUAAAAGACAAGUCUGGCCUGGCAGGGCUGCUGGCGCCACUAUGUACAGCCCACGGACUGACUGUUGGAAGGAGAACUUGCAGUGCCCAGUGCCCCAGCCUGCUCUUUCUGCAGUGACUGUGUGAAGGAAGGUGAAUUCAGGGAGCAGUUCUGUAAUGUUCCUCAUACCGAAUGGGAAGACAUCCGGGGCAGCAGUUACGCUGUUACAGCCCGUAGAACUUGAUCUCAAGUGCUCUUGCUCACAAGGGCUCCCAGGCAGUAAAUGCCACCGGUGCCAUGACUGCUGGGGACCCACUGGGCUGCAACUGCCAGUCCUCAACCGCCAUCUGUAACACGGAUGGAUGCUCUCUGUCAUUAGAACUCAUCUGCAAUCCUCGGGGUCUGUGACACUGAGUUGCUGAGGCAACACAAAAAGCUAAUAAAACCCUGAAAUUA